rnacentral:misc_RNA from 1 species
GAUGAAGAACGUAGCGAAAUGCGAUACUUGGUGUGAAUUGCAGAAUCCCGUGAACCAUCGAGUCUUUGAACGCAAGUUGCGCCCGAAGCCACUAGGCCGAGGGCACGCCUGCCUGGGCGUCACACGCCGUUGCCCCCCCAUCUACUCCUUCGGGAUUGCGGGGGGGCGGGUGAUGGCCUCCUGUGCGCCUAGCCGCGCGGUUGGCAUAAAUACCAAGUCCUCGGCGACGCACGCCACGACAAUCGGUGGUUGCGAAACCUCGGUUGCCCGUCGUGUGCGUUCGUCGCGCAUCGAGGGCUCGAAAAAAUGCUCGGCUCCGGCUGGGCUUUCAACGCGACCCCAGGUCAGGCGGGGUUACCCGCUGAAUUUAAGCAUAUCAAUAAGCGGAGGA